UGGAGCAUGGAGCCCAUGGAAUGUCAUACAGCCCGUGGUAAGGUAUAGAGCCUGUGGAAGGCAUGAAGCCCAUUGUAAGACAGAAAGCCCAUGGAAGGCAUAAAGCCCAUAGAAGGUUGUGGUGUCUGGUACCAGGACUUGGAGCCAAAGCAGAGUGGAACCACAACUUAUGGUAAAGGUUGCUGUGAAAGAAUUCCCCAUUCUCUGUCUUACCUCAGAAUUUUGGAGGGCAAGUGUGUGGAUGGAGAUCAAAGAGCUUUCAGUGGCGAGGAAGGCAGUCCAGGGGUUAAGAAGUUAAACUUGCUUGGCUCGAGUGGAAGUUAAAUGCAGUGAUAAUUUGUCAAAAGUUGAUUAACCAGAGAUGGACGCAAACUUGAGUCUCUUUACUACUGACAGAAAAAACCAAAUUUUUCUUUUUGGAACAGAGCAUUUAGCUGAGCCCAUUGAAUUCUAGGCUUGAAGAAAGUGGGCUGAAUGGAGAACCAUCUCUGAUUCUUGGGCUGGGCAAUUUCCUUUGGUGAAAAUCACAUUUGGCAUCACAUAAAUAUGUUUAGAGAAUUGUGGCCCAAUACUCAAUGAACUGUGGUGGAGGACUCUGGAGAGCAGCACCAGGAAGACACCGCUAAAGGAGUGUCACCAUCCAAAGCUGGAAUUCCUGAUACAUGAAUCUUACUAUUGGGAAAUUUAGCUAAUUGUAUGUGAAACAUUCACUGGCUUUCUCCUCAGUUUUUUUUUUUUUUUUUUUUUUUUUUUUUUACUGUUUCAUGCAAAACACACAUUCUGUGAAGAGAGAAAACUCAUGCAUUCUAAAAAACCACUUAAACUACAUUUGUUGCCACAUGCAAUGAACACUAAAGAACUAUUUCCGUUCUCCACAAUCAAGUCUCUUCAUCCAACUCUUCAUCUUAAUUUCCACGGUAAGAAUGUUGUCAUGUACAAUAGGACAUCUCACAGUUUGGUUUACAGUUGUUGGCAAUGCAUGCUCCAUGUUGAAAGGUAGCUGCUGAGUGACCCCAACUUGUGAACAACUUGUUACGCAAAAAAUGAAUCCUUUCUCCUUAUUUCCAUGUUCACCCUCACCAGGACUGUGUGAUUUUUUCUCUUUGAAGGAGGGCAGAAAGUAAAUUUACUAAAAUAUACUAAAAAAAGUAAAAUAUACUAAAAGUAAAAUAUACUAUAAGAAAGUAUGUUUUGACCAGAUACCAAAGAAGGGUGAAUCAUUGUAUGUGGAAAACCUUAUCUGGCUUCAAAUGCUAUUGUUAAGCUUGGCCAAAAAUGUUUACACAUUAUUAUUAUUUAAAAAUUUUAUUAUUUGACCAUUCAACUGAAAAUACGGAGAAAACAACAAUGCAAAAAUUUAAGCUAAGGAACCUCAGUGCAAACUGUCCUGCUGUUGCUAGAUUCUGGUACAAAUCUGCAUCCUGUUUUAGCCUGUUGGAGUUUUAGUUCCAAGUGUGUGCAUAUCUCCAUUUUUUCCCAUUGAAAAGAAACUAAUAUAAAUAUUUGAGGAUUCUUUAUGUGUAAUUUAAAAAUUAAUUCUAUGAGCACAGCGAUCUUUUACAAGCGGGAAGACGAAAGAACCAAAAUUCUAGAGUUCAUUGACAUAAUUUCGAGGUUACUCUCUGGGUAAGCUCAGCCUGCUGAUCUGUUAUUCAAAGAUAGCUUUUGAGCAUUUUGAAAACAUCAAUUUUUUUUUUCAUCUUGGCUUCCUCUUUUUGACCAAAAAUAUGUCCACUCAUAUCUUUAAUGAAGUACUUACUCUUCUGCCAUGGGUCCAAAAACUGAUCUUAUAGGAAAAUUCAGCUUUUUAUUUACUAGUCAGAGGAAGAUAUCUUAUUUUACUAAUUCAGUUUUGUAAUGGAUAUAAAUUUAUUGUUCUAAAAUUAUAUUUAUUUGCUAUACUGAGUUUAUUCCAAUAGGCUUUCCAAACAGUGAUCAUGAUUAUUUCACUGUUCCCUGCCCGCUUUCAGGGACUGAUUCGAAGUUCCCUGGGUCUCACAUAUUUCCCAGACAUCAAAGGGAAGAGCUGGAUGAAUAGUCCUACCUGCACUCUGUCCACACUUGUUUGCAGAGUGAUGCCAUGUUUUACUUGCUUCUCAGUGCCUGUUCUAUACAGAUUGUUACUCAAAUAUCCCUUAUCCUCAUCUGAAGCACUAAAUUCAGCUAAUCUCCUUCUUCUACAGUACUACUUUUUGGCAGAAGGAAAUCUUAGGGUUGCUCCCCAACACAUUGUGCUUGGGGAGUUUUUGCAAAUCUCCAAUCUGCCUAGACAUUCCUUGCAACUCUUUGUUUUGCUGCACUUUGUGUUGCAUAGAUAGCACUGUGCUGAUGCUGUGCACUCUGGGACCUAAGCGGCCCAUGUUCUCUCUAUGGAUGUUUACAUAACACAAGAUUCAACCACCUUUCUCUGGAGACUCACUACCUUGUUAAGGUCUCAGCUGCCUCAAACAUGCCCAGGAUGAAGACUACCUCAAAAUAAACCAUAAAAUACAAAAUAAACCGAACUGACCAUUAACCUACAUGAAUGCUUUUUUCCCUUUCCCCUUUCAGUAUAAAGAGAUUUCCAUUUUCCAAUUGCAGCCUUUUCCUCUUACCUGAUCUCUCCAUUUGAUCUCUUAUUUUCUGAAGCAAUUAUUUUUGCAUUUAAUCACUUCCCAUUGACAGACCCAUUCUGACAGGGAUGGUGAUGAUGAUGAUGGCGAUGAUGAUGAUGAUGAGAGUUGUAUCACCUAUAGCAAAGUCAGGAAGACAGACCCACAUAAGGUAGUUAAACAGAAGUUUAAAAUGGAAAACCAGUUGUAAAUGUGAUAAAAGCAAGGAAAAGCUAAGUGGAAAUAGACAAUCUAUUGCUUAGCAACUGCUGAAAGCUGACUUAUCACUCAUAAAUACAAAUGAGGAAAGAUGAUGCUGCCAUAGUUUGGGGGCUGAGGGACUCUGGGGUAUUUCAAAUCAUGUAGGAGAGGCAGUUCUUAUUGAAAUCCGUCGUGGAGCUGAAAGAGGGAGAGAGAAGAGAGAGAGAGAGAGAGAGAGAGAGAGAGAGAUGACUUCUUUUUUUCUCUUGCCAUAGUGUCCAGUAAUUGCAUUCAGAAUGUUGAACCUAAUUAGACACAAAUGGAUAAGGGAGCUGAGGAGAUGGGAAGUCAGAUAUUUGUGGCACAGGGCAGGGCAAGGGGCAUCAGGUCAGGAUCUGAGAGUAAACAAAUCAAUCCCAGGCCCAAUAGAAAAUGAAUCAUAGCAUCUGUUAUCUUUACCAACCCUUGCUGCAGGCACUAAUAUUAUUCCCACUUCACAGGAGUGAAAACUAAAACAAUGUCAGGUUACAAAGAUAACAAGGAUGAAGGACAGGCUGGUUAUGGGCUGGAAGAACAGAAGAGGACUUGAGAGAAUAUUAAUCCUCCAUGUGGUCACCUUUAGAUAGAUUCACUUGUUCAAAUCAGUAGCUAUCCCUUCAGUGAAAAAACAUGAAGUGAAGUUGUCAAAUAUUUACAUGAAAAACCUUACUUAAUUACCAAUUUUUCCUUAAUUUACCUCAAUCUCUCCCAUCCCUUUUUUGUAAAAAAUAUUUACUUAUUUAUGCAAAAAGCAGAAUGAUAGAGAGAGGGAAAGAGAGGAAGUGAAAGGGAAAGGGAGAGAUAUAUAGAUAGAGAUAGAGAUAGAUAUAUAUAUAGAUAGAGAUAGAGAUAGAUAUAUAUAGAUAUAUAUAGAUAUAGAUAUAAAUAUAGAGAUAGAUAGAUAUAGAUAGAGAUAGGUAUAGAUGUAGAUAUAGAUAUAGAUAGAUUUAGAUAUAAACAGAGAUAGAGAAUGAUGUAGAGAUAUAGAUAUAGAUAUAGAUAUAGAUAUAGAUAUAGAUAUAGAUAUAGAUAUUCCUUCUACUCUUUCACUGCCCAAAUGGCCACAAGAGCCAGAACUGGACCAAGCUGAAGCCAGAAGCCUGGAACUCUGUCUGGGUCUCCCAAAUAACACAAGUACCCAAGUACUUGGGCCACCAUCUUUUGCUUUCCUAGGCACAUUAGCAAGGAGCUGGAUUGGAGGAGGAGCAUCCAGGAACUUGAACUGACACUCUGAUGUUGGAUGUUGGUAUCAAACUUGGAGCUUAAACCUGCUGUGUCAGGAUGCUAUCCCCUCUCAUCUUUUUCAUAAUCAAGUUGCUUGAAAGAUGUUGCUAAAGAAGUCAUUUUAGUUCUUCUCUUGUCACUCACUCUAUACACAGCAGUGGGUUCUAAUUCUCCCGCUCCACUAAAAUAAUCUGUUAAAAGGAUCCUAAAAGCUUGUUCAUCGCAGUAUAUAGUAAAUGCCUUUUAUUCCUUCUUACCCUGCCCUUUCUCUUCUUGGUGAAGUUUUUGGCUGUUAAUGUAAAGCACACGAAAACCUAUUUGUUGAAUUCCAGGCAAUAAUUGUCAGAGAAGAAUAAGGCUACAUCUAUGUCAUCAAAUGUGUCUUCCAUGUGAAAGAUACCAUGUAGCAUUUAAUUUAUAUCUGCCUGGCCAGAACCAAGAUAUAGGAUCACAUCUAGUUUCCAAGAAAGCUGGACGUUCAUCAUCUAAAGAAAGGAAUUUUUUUUAUUAAAAACAAGUAUUAAAUGGAUAUGGUGUUCUUGAAAGCAAUCUCUGCCAAAUAUGUUAUAUUUGAUGUCUUCAGCUGUCUGAAUAAAAUAGUAAGUAAGUCAUUAAUACUUAGGAAAAUGGAGUUGAGACUAUGGAGAGAGGACACAGUGUAUUAUGUCAGAAUACAACAAAAUAAAUAUACAAAGGAGACAUCAUGGCACUUCAUUGAUUAUGAUUUUUUAUGUACUAUAUGUCCAUCUGAAUGUUUUUUCUUUUCCCUAGAAAUAUUCAGGUACUAAAUUACAGGAAGUAAAAUGAUGUAGGUUAAAAUUCAACAAGAAUUCUCCUGAAUAUACAGUGGAGGGAAGAAGGAUCAACAGAAUUGAAAGUGUUUGCAAAUAGUGACUGUAACAGCUUUGAUAUAAUCAAACUGGACAGAAAAGAGAAAUAAAACAGGGAAAAAGCUAAUAAGAAGACUUUUACAGCAAGGAGGCUGGAGAAGUGUUGGGAACUGUAAUAUCUGAAGUCUGUAUUUUAGAUCUGGUUCUAUUUCCAACAAAAUCAAAGCCAAGUGUAGAAAUAGAUUUCUAAGGUACAGUAGAAAUGAAAUGAACAAAGAGAUGAAAUAAACGGAGAGAUCAGCUCAUGGCCCAUUCAUCUGUGCCAAUGUUGAAAUAGCUGCUGAUGAUAAUGAGGUAGGGAGGAAUGGUCUGCCCUUAGAGAUGUCUUCAGUAAAUGAUAAAAAGUAGUGCAAUAGACAGUAAUCAGGACUCAAGGGAGGAUGGCAUGAAGGAUGGCAUGGGAAGAUGAACUCCCUCAGAAGAGGGCCUGUGUGGCACUUGGGAGGGGACUCAUGACCCGCAGGUGUCAAUGAGAAGAAAGGAGUGCAUCUAUCACUUCACUGUGCCGACCUGUUGAGAGCAAUUCAGUGGAAGAAUUUCCAUGAAAGGAAGACAGGCUUCAGAGAAGGUCAGCCAGUGAUGAGGACCUUCAGAAAGGAGGUGGCAGUGCAGGGGAGUUUGCUCAUCACAAAUUGGACAAAGGAGGGUGCAAUCCAGUUGGGUGGAUGAUUGUAUAGAGAGCAGUGUGGGAACUGGUGAUGGUUACCAUGAAUAGGCAUACAAGGUAUCACGGCCUCCAAGCUCACACCCUCAAAUGAACAUGAUCCGGACACGUGGGUCACGAUGCUUUUCCAAUGGCUUACUAAAGAGCAUCUCUUUCCUUCUGAUGAGUUGAGCAGGGAGCUUUACUGUGAUUGCUUGUUUAACUUUGUUAGCAUUCUUAAUAGUUCUAUCUCUGCUAGAUUAUAAACUCUAUGACAUCAAAGUCUUCCUCAAUGAUUUCACAAUAUUCCUAGGAACUAGUAUAGUGCUUGACAUACAUACCAAGGACACCCACUAGAAAAUUUGCAAAGGUGAGAAAAAGAAAUAAUUGAAGUGAACUGGGUUUUGUAUUUUUUUGUUACAAAGACUUUGCAUAUUUAGUUUAAAUUAAAAAGGGAAACAUUUAAAAAGGAGAGUAAUCAUUCUCUAUUUCUUAAUAUGUGAUACACUGUUGGUCUCACCUCUGCUUUUCAAUUCUGUAUGGACACAGGUGUAAAAUAUGUUUCUCUUAGCAUAAAAACAGUGGUUGUCCCUGGAAAGGACAAUUGAGAGAGGCAGUCUCACUGGGGAGAGGUCAGAACUGUGGUGAAGAUGACGAACCUUUCUGUGCCCCAGCUGCUUAUCUCACCUGUGCACUUGCAGGCUCUGGUUGUUCAAAGCAAGACUGAAAUCAACACUUGUACCUGAAAUAUUCUGAUUCUGAAAUGUUGGUUUGACUUUCAGUACACAGCGUAGGCAAAAUUUUCUCAUGUCCAAAGGCUGUGUUUGAGCUCUCAUCCUUGGUCUAGACUUCUGCUGUGCAUUCAUUAAGUAUUUACUGAAAGAAGUCAGUGAGUGAGUAGUUUAAGGGAGGCCAUAUAUUUGAGUUAUGGACAACCAUUUGGUUGUGUUUACAGCAGAGUCAUUAAUCCCAACAACUCUCAGAAGUUGUUUGCAACUUCCUAGCAAUAACAUGAUGCUUCUUCAAAAACUCUUUCACCCAAAGUAAAGCUAAUAUGCAAGGAAAGCAUGUCCUAGAUAAUCGUUUCUCUAUUGUGAAAAUAUUUCAUAUGUACUUUAUGGUUUGCUGUGACCCUUUCCUAAGGAUAAUGAUUUUUGAUCCAUCUAACCAAGUUGAUUCCAAAGACCUUGUAUAAUAAAUCAAUUAUUAUAAAUAUCAGAUUGAAUAUUUUCCAGUAAAAAAGCAAUUUCACAGUAAAAUUGCUCUGUUUGUGGGGCUGUAGUAGAUGAAUAAGAAACACAGAUAUUAGGAUAUUAUAUUUCUAUUACUUAGGAUAGCCUAAGAAUUUUUCUAUAUUGGUUUUAAAAAUAUCAUUUAAAAAUAUCUCUAAUUCAAUGUAGUAGAAUUGAGACUCCUCACAAAACAUUAAAGAUAUCUAUCUAACCAAUAAUAAUACACCUAUAUUACAUAAGAUCUAAACAUAAAUAUUUUCAAAACCAUGCUUGAAUUUCAAUGCAGAAAUAUAUUUAUUCUGUAUGUAGAUUAUGAAACUCAUUUCCACAAUUAUAUAUCAGCAUGCAAAUAAACUCUUUUGUAUUUUGAAGAGUCUUCUUUCUAUGUCAGAAGAAUAGUAAAAAAUUGAAUAUUCCAAUGAAUAUUGAUCUGUCCGUAUAUAAAAACAAAACUAAUCUGCACAUUUUAGAACACUCAGUUCAGAAUGCCAAAUUACAAACUCUGUACCAAAUAAGCAUGACUUAAUCAAUAUAUGACAGCAUCUCUAAAUUUGUUCCUCUUCCAACUUAAGACCAAUCCAAAAAAAAAAAAAAAAAAAAAAAAAAAACAAACAAACAAAAAAACAAAUGAAUACCCUUAACCAGUCACAUAGGGUGCUUGAUUCUAAUCAAGUUCAGCAACCUCGUGCCAACCCCUCCAAUCACAGCCUUUUCUACUUCAUCAUGAAGCUUUCUGAUCCUUUGCCUUCAUUUGAAUCCGUGCCAAAUGCAAGUGGUGGAGCUGGAUGCCUUGCAUUAGAGCCAGCACUGAAUACACAGCCUGUGCUUGUUCUCAAUUAGAUGAUCUUCAUUUAAUUUCAUACUGGGUAUUUAUUUUUAUUUGUAUAUUUUGAAAGGUGGAAAAAUUGUUAACCUCCAACAUUUUAGGUUCUUUGGUUGGCCUAUGAAUUAAAAUGACAUAAAAUGAUUGACAGUAUAAAAACAAUUUUAAUUAUGUUUAUAUACACAGGAGUGCCAUAAAAAUUGUGAGAAGUUGCCAGGUGAUUAUGCUUAUGUGGAUGGCAAUCACAAGCUAGAGUAAAAACAGUGGCUUGGCGUUUCUCAGGGGCAGUUGAGACAGACUGUGGAAAAGUGUGGGAGGAGGAAAUAUAUGAUGCAUAGAGGCUGCCUUGUCAUGCAGAUAAACGUCUCCCAAGUGAUAAGAACUGUGUCAGUGUAGCCCACUUCUUGGUAUAGAUACAUUUGCCAUUGAACACUUCUUUUGUGGAUGUACAUUUUCUUUACAAAUGGGGAAUUUUAACUUUAUUGCUGGUAGUUGAAUUGGAAAUAUAGAGAUUUUACUGUAUUAGUGCAUUUUUUAUUUUAGGUGAAAGUAACACAUUUGGGUAUUGUUAGAACUCCAAGAAUGAUACCUCUAAAAUAUGUCAGUUUUUAUCACUCUGAACAAUUUGAUACAAAGGAAAUUAAACGAAAAUCUUAAAAUCCAGCUCAGAAUCAAUAUCCCUCUAACUUUGCCUUGCUUUCCAUACCUGCAUCCAAGUGCCAAGAGAGACUCUGAAAUUCCCUCUUGUGUAUAAAAACCAGAUUGCAUAAAGGGAACACAAUCGCCUUCCAUAUCCACCCUGAAAAGCCAUUCACUAUCUCAGAAAAUAAGACUGAGGAACAUAACCACACCUGGACAGACUUCUAUUUCAAGAUAAUGUGUGUCCCUUGUGUCCAUUCAAAUUCCAAAGAGAAUCAUUUUGUGAGCUAAUUUCAGUCUAUAGCCACUCAUUCCCCUAACAUUUCUCUGUUCUCUGCAUCCCUCAAAAUUAAUUCCCACAUUCUCUCUUCCAUUAGAAAAAGGGAUAUAUAAGCUUUGACAUUCUCUUGGGCUGCAUGGUAAUUGCACUAAGUGACUGUCUCCAGGCAAGGGGCACUUCUGUGAGCCUUUUCUCCAAUUAAUCUACCUUUGACAGUUUCUUCAGUUCCAAAGGACAGAAGUAAGGAAAUAGACAAUAGGCAUUUACUCUGUGCCAGGACAUCCAUGUGGUAAAUAUGAUGAUUUAUUAUUAUGGUAAUAAGUGUUUUCUUUAAGGUAGUCAAAGGAAGAGAAUCUUAGUCUCUUAAUGAAUAGGGAAGGAAAAGUUCCUCAAUGGCUUGACUGAUUUAAGGUCAGAGAUUAUAAAAGUGAAAGGAAUUAAUUUGAGGGUGUGAGGAACUAAAAUCCAAGAGACACAGGUUCAGAUACCUCUGAGUCAGUGUUCAGAGGAAGGAAGAUGACAGUGGGUGUUUCCAUGGGCAAACAGGAUGGAUUUGCUAUGUAGAGGUAAAAGUCUCUUUGGAUGAACCUUCUUUGAGAAAGAACAGGAGCUUUGUGAAAGGUGGAAGAUAGAGAAUAAAUACAUACAUUUAGUAAAAAAUGUCCAUAAAAUAAGAGCUGAUGUACAUCAGCUGGGGUCUAUGGGUACCAUGUAGUUAUCAGAUCCUUCCAGAUGGCUGCAGCCAUGUGUGGAGGUUACCAAAGUUCACCUAGUUAGGUAGAAGCUUGAGACAUGCAUAGGUAUUUCUCCCGAAUGCCCCUCAACUCCAUUUUUAAAAGUUCUGUCCAUGUUGCUUUCAUUUUAUUUUUGCCCAUGUGUCUCCAUAAUACUUUCAUAUGAGAGUUAAAGCCUACUGAAGGGCUUGAAUUUUACUGGAGAAAAAAUUUUCUGUUGGUUAUACUGGAAGGAUAGGAAGAAAAUGUUAUUUUUGUAAAAGAAGGAAUAAUUCACAAUUGCCUGAUUAGAAUUCACACAUGAAUGCAGCGCAGUUAGCCUUCCAUUUGCCAAAGAUUAAGGAGAAAUUUGUUUUGGAAAUAAUAACGAGUACAGUAGAUUGUGACCUGUAGAAAGGCUUAGAGUGAUAAUGAUAAUAAUAUUUAAAACAGUUUGUCAAAUAUCUGCCAUGCAUUAGCCUACUUUUAAAUUCAUGUUCUUACUUAAGUUCCACUAAAGUCCCAUGAAGUAGAUUUUAUUUUUGUUUUGAAGGUGAAGAAACUGAAGCUGAGUGUAUAAUGCCCUCCAAAAU